CCUACGGGGGCAGCAGUCGAGAAUCAUUCACAAUGGGGGAAACCCUGAUGGUGCGACGCCGCGUGGGGGAAUGAAGGUCUUCGGAUUGUAAACCCCUGUCAUGUGGGAGCAAAUUAAAAAGAUAGUACCACAAGAGGAAGAGACGGCUAACUCUGUGCCAGCAGCCGAGGUAAUACAGAGGUCUCAAGCGUUGUUCGGAAUCACUGGGCGUAAAGCGUGCGUAGGCUGUUUCGUAAGUCGUGUGUGAAAGGCGAGGGCUCAACCCGCGGACGGCACAUGAUACUGCGAGACUAGAGUAAUGGAGGGGGAAUCGGAAUUCUCGGUGUAGCAGUGAAAUGCGUAGAUAUCGAGAGGAACACUCGUGGCGAAGGCGGGUUCCUGGACAUUAACUGACGCUGAGGCACGAAGGCCAGGGGAGCGAAAGGGAUUAGAUACCCCGGUAGUC
rnacentral:rRNA from 1 species